AAGAAGUUUAGAGUCCAAAUAUGAAGAUUUUGAGGCCCAAAGUAAUCGGAUCUCAUGAUCGAAUUGGUGGUUUUCUAAGCAUAUUACUUAAUGAUAUGGUUUGGUUGCCACUUUAAAUGUAACAAAACCGAAAAAGAAUCAUCAAUUGCUCUUUUUUGACUUGGCUCCGGUGGCCUCGCUCGUCACAAAUGACUCGGCUUGACUUCAAUCCCAAGAGGUUUAAAAAAGGUGCAUUUGACCACAUCACCAACAGCUACUACAACACGUUAGGGACAAUUAAACAAGCAC